rnacentral:rRNA from 1 species
AAUGGAGGCAACUCUGAACCAGCCAUGCCGCGUGCAGGAUGACGGCCCUAUGGGUUGUAAACUGCUUUUAUACAAGAGAAAACCCUGGUACGUGUACCAGGUUGAUAGUAUUGUAAGAAUAAGCAUCGGCUAACUUCGUGCCAGCAGCCGCGGUAAGACGAAGGAUGCAAGCGUUAUCCGGAUUCAUUGGGUUUAAAGGGUGCGUAGGCGGACUGAUAAGUCAGUGGUGAAAUCUCUUUGCUUAACAAAGAAACUGCCAUUGAUACUGUCGGUCUAGAGUAUAGAUGACGUUGGCGGAAUAUGACAUGUAGUGGUGAAAUACUUAGAUAUGUCAUAGAACACCGAUUGCGAAGGCAGCUAACGAAACUAUAACUGACGCUGAGGCACGAAAGUGCGGGGAUCAAA